rfam:Trichobilharzia regenti genome assembly, scaffold: TRE_scaffold0009872
AUUCAGCUGACGGAACCCAAACAGGACGAAAUGCGCAUCCUGGAU